ACGUACACUCCUGCGGGAGGCAGCAGUGGGGAAUAUUGGACAAUGGGCGCAAGCCUGAUCCAGCCAUGCCGCGUGAGUGAUGAAGGCCCUAGGGUUGUAAAGCUCUUUCACCGGUGAAGAUAAUGACGGUAACCGGAGAAGAAGCCCCGGCUAACUUCGUGACAGCAGCCGCGGUAAUACGAAGGGGGCUAGCGUUGUUCGGAUUUACUGGGCGUAAAGCGCACGUAGGCGGACUAUUAAGUCAGGGGUGAAAUCCCGGGGCUCAACCCCGGAACUGCCUUUGAUACUGGUAGUCUUGAGUUCGAGAGAGGUGAGUGGAAUUCCGAGUGUAGAGGUGAAAUUCGUAGAUAUUCGGAGGAACACCAGUGGCGAAGGCGGCUCACUGGCUCGAUACUGACGCUGAGGUGCGAAAGCGUGGGGAGCAAACAGGAUUAGAAACCCCAGUAGUCCCAUGAU
rnacentral:rRNA from 1 species